rnacentral:rRNA from 1 species
UAGGGAAUCUCCGGCAAUGGACGGAAGUCUGACCGAGCAACGCCGCGUGAGUGAAGAAGGUUUUCGGAUCGUAAAGCUCUGUUGUAAGAGAAGAACGAGUGUGAGAGUGGAAAGUUCACACUGUGACGGUAUCUUACCAGAAAGGGACGGCUAACUACGUGCCAGCAGCCGCGGUAAUACGUAGGUCCCGAGCGUUGUCCGGAUUUAUUGGGCGUAAAGCGAGCGCAGGCGGUUAGAUAAGUCUGAAGUUAAAGGCUGUGGCUUAACCAUAGUACGCUUUGGAAACUGUUUAACUUGAGUGCAGAAGGGGAGAGUGGAAUUCCAUGUGUAGCGGUGAAAUGCGUAGAUAUAUGGAGGAACACCGGUGGCGAAAGCGGCUCUCUGGUCUGUAACUGACGCUGAGGCUCGAAAGCGUGGGGAGCGAACAGGAUUAGAUACCCUGGUAGUCCACGCCGUAAACGAUGAGUGCUAGGUGUUGGAUCCUUUCCGGGAUUCAGUGCCGCAGCUAACGCAUUAAGCACUCCGCCUGGGGAGUACGACCGCAAGGUUG